rnacentral:pre_miRNA from 1 species
CUAAUACUCCCUCCAUCUCAAAAUUCUUGUCUUAGAUUUGUCUAAAUACAGAUGCAUCUAGUUACAUUUUAGUGUUAGAUACAUCCGUAUCUAGACAAAUGUAAGACAAGAAUUUUAAGAUGGAGGGAGUAUCCA